AGCGGGGCAUGUAGCUCAAUGGUAGCUU
rnacentral:piRNA from 1 species